GCCUUCCUAGCUCAGUGGUAGAGCGCGUCACUAGUAAUGACGAGGUCGUCAGUGAGUAACACCCCCAUUCGAAGCACCCCCCUUCGAAGCACGUUGGAGACGCCGACGCUGACGUGCCGUGAAGGUUCAAUUCUGGCGGAAGGCA